rnacentral:lncRNA from 1 species
UCGACGACGAGGAGGACGCACCGGAGAUACGGGCAGGGAAAGGAUUAUUAAGUUUUUAAUAAAACAAACAAACAAGCGCUUGUUUUUCGGGACAUCUAUCGUAUAGGAAACAUACAAUGUUUUAUAGUCGAAGGAAAGCUCACAACAAGGACAUGAGUGCUGGGACUCUCAUGUUGCGCCUCUGCUUGGGUUUACUGUCCGUCUGCGUCCCGCUGGGCUCUGCAGUCCAAAUAAACAUCACAGCUGAGCAUGGAAAGAAGGUCAUUCUGCCUUGCCAAGUUCCAAACAACAGCAAACCCAUUGUAGCUGUAGAGUGGAGCAGACCUGACCUGGAGCCAGACUUUGUUCUUUUCUACCGGGAUGGGCACUUUGACUCAUUCUACCAACAUCCAUCUUUUAAGAACCGCGUGUAUCUGCAGGACAGCGAGAUGAAGCAUGGCAAUGUGUCUUUGAUUCUGGAGAAUGUGAUGACAGAUGAUGAAGGAAUAUAUGAGUGUCGUGUUAGAACACGAAUGGGCCACAGGAAGAGAGCUCAUCUCAGUAGUGACCCCAUCGGCACCAUCAACAUGACUGUUGUUCCUUCAGCUAACAUAGGAGGAAACACAGAGAAUGGUGGGAAGGAAGAUGGAGCCAGAGGAGAUCUUGCACUGAUCUGCAUUGCCCUGCUUCUAUACAGAAAGUCUAGAGCAUGA